rnacentral:rRNA from 1 species
UGGGGAAUAUUGCACAAUGGGCGCAAGCCUGAUGCAGCCAUGCCGCGUGUAUGAAGAAGGCCUUCGGGUUGUAAAGUACUUUCAGCGGGGAGGAAGGGAGUAAAGCUAAUACCUUUGCUCAUUGACGUUACCCGCAGAAGAAGCACCGGCUAACUCCGUGCCAGCAGCCGCGGUAAUACGGAGGGUGCAAGCGUUAAUCGGAAUUACUGGGCGUAAAGCGCAUGCAGGCGGUUUGUUAAGUAAGUUGUGAAAUCCCCGGGCUAAACCUGGGAACUGCGUCUGAUACUGGCAAGCUUGAGACUCGUAGAGGGGGGUAGAAUUCCAGGUGUAGCGGUGAAAUGCGUAGAGAUCUGGAGGAAUACCGGUGGCGAAGGCGGCCCCCUGGACGAAGACUGACGCUCAGGUGCGAAAGCGUGGUGAGCAAACAGG